AUACGGAGGGUGCAAGCGUUACUCGGAAUCACUGGGCGUAAAGCGCGCGCAGGCGGCUAUUUAAGUUGGAUGUGAAAGCCUACGGCUCAACCGUAGAACUGCAUCCAAAACUAUUUAGCUAGAGUGUGGGAGAGGAAGAUGGAAUUAGUUGUGUAGGGGUAAGAUCCGUAGAGAUAACUAGGAAUACCAAAAGCGAAGGCAAUCUUCUGGAACACUACUGACGCUGAGGCGCGAAAGCGUGGGGAGCAAACAGGAUUAGAAACCCUUGUAGUCC
rnacentral:rRNA from 1 species